rnacentral:rRNA from 1 species
GAUGAACGCUGGCGGCGUGCCUAAUACAUGCAAGUCGAGCGAACGGACGAGAAGCUUGCUUCUCUGAUGUUAGCGGCGGACGGGUGAGUAACACGUGUAUAACCUACCUAUAAGACUGGGAUAACUUCGGGAAACCGUAGCUAAUACCGGAUAAUAUUUUGAACCGCAGGGUUCAAAAGUGAAAUACGGUCUUGCGGUCACGUAUAGAUGGAUCCGGGCUGCAUUAGAUAGUUGUUAAGGUAACGGCUUACCAAGGCAACGAUGCAUAGCCGACCUGAGAGGGUGAUAGGCGACACUGGAACUGGACCACGGUCCAGACUACUACGGGAGGCAGCAGUAGGGAAUCUUCCGCAAUGGGCGAAAGCCUGACGGAGCAACGCCGCGUGAGUGAUGAAGGCCUUCGGAUCGUAAAACUCUGUUAUUAGGGAAGAACAUAUGUGUAAGUAACUGUGCACAUCUUGACGGUAACUAAUCAGAAAGCCACGGCUAACUACGUG